GAUGAACGCUGGCGGCGUGCCUAAUACAUGCAAGUCGAGCGAACAGACGAGGAGCUUGCUCCUCUGACGUUAGCGGCGGACGGGUGAGUAACACGUGGAUAACCUACCUAUAAGACUGGGAUAACUUCGGGAAACCGGAGCUAAUACCGGAUAAUAUAUUGAACCGCAUGGUUCAAUAGUGAAAGACGGUUUUGCUGUCACUUAUAGAUGGAUCCGCGCCGCAUUAGCUAGUUGGUAAGGUAACGGCUUACCAAGGCAACGAUGCGUAGCCGACCUGAGAGGGUGACCGGCCACACUGGAACUGAGACACGGUCCACACUCCUACGGGAGGCAGCAGUAGGGAAUCUUCCGCAAAGGGCGAAAGCCUGACGGAGCAACGCCGCGUGAGUGAUGAAGGUCUUCGGAUCGUAAAACUCUGUUAUUAGGGAAGAACAAAUGUGUAAGUAACUAUGCACGUCUUGACGGUACCUAAUCAGAAAGCCACGGCUAACUACGUG
rnacentral:rRNA from 1 species